ensembl:snoRNA Small nucleolar RNA U13
AUCCUUUUGAAGUUCAUAAGCAGGAUGAUUGGGUGUUCACACUGUUGCAUGACAUGUUCAGUUCAGUCGCUCAGUCGUGUCCGACUCUUUGCCACCCCAUGAAC